GAUGUUUUCAUUAAUCAAGAACGAAAGUUGGGGGCUCGAAGACGAUCAGAUACCGUCCUAGUCUCAACCAUAAACGAUGCCGACCAGGGAUCGGCGGAUGUUGCUUAUAGGAGCGCGCCGGCACCUUAUGAGAAAUCAAAGUCUUUGGGUUCCGGGGGGAGUAUGGUCGCAAGGCUGAAACUUAAAGGAAUUGACGGAAGGGCACCACCAGGCGUGGAGCCUGCGG
rnacentral:ncRNA from 1 species